UACGUAGGGUGCGAGCGUUGUCCGGAAUUAUUGGGCGUAAAGAGCUUGUAGGCGGUUUGUCGCGUCUGCUGUGAAAAUCCGGGGCUCAACCCCGGACUUGCAGUGGGUACGGGCAGACUAGAGUGUGGUAGGGGAGACUGGAAUUCCUGGUGUAGCGGUGAAAUGCGCAGGAUAUCAGGAGGAACACCGAUGGCGAAGGCAGGUCUCUGGGCCGAUACUGACGCUGAGGAGCGAAAGCGUGGGGAGCGAACAGGAUAGAAACCC
rnacentral:rRNA from 1 species